CAGUAGCCACGGUAAAACGAAGGUCCCGAGCGUUGUUCGGAAUCACUGGGCGUAAAGGGAGCGUAGGCGGCGUGGUAAGUCAGAUGUGAAAUCCCGGGGCUCAACCCCGGAACUGCAUCCGAUACUGCCAUGCUAGAGGAUUGGAGAGGUAGCUGGAAUUCUUGGUGUAGCAGUGAAAUGCGUGGAGAUCAAGAGGAACACUCGUGGCGAAAGCGAGCUACUGGACAAUAGCUGACGCUGAGGCUCGAAGGCCAGGGUAGCGAAAAGGAUUAGAUACCCCAGUAGUCCCUGUCUCUUAUAC
rnacentral:rRNA from 1 species